rnacentral:tRNA from 1 species
GCCUGGGUGGCUCAGUCGGUUAAGCACCCGACUUCAGCUCAGGUCAUGAUCUCAGGGUUUGCGAGUUCAAGCCCCGCGUCGGGCU